GGGAAAGAUCUCAGCUGGAGAUCUCUCUUUUUGGUGUUCUGUGGUGAGUCCAACUAAGGAUAGCAGUCUGAAGCAGUUUUACCGCAGGCUAUUUUUCAGGGAUCGUUAGAAGCAGCAGUACUUCAGACUUACCGGGAUGCGUAGAGAAAUACAUCUUUCUCCUUGAGAGAUUUGUUCCAAGCUAAUAGCACUUUCUGCCAGUGAACAUGACUGAAGACAGAGCCAAGAGAAACCUGGAACCCGAACAGAAGCCGUGUGGUGAGCACACUGGGAGCAGCAUGGAGAUGGCCUCCUUCCCCACAGCAGACCUGUCAGCAUGCCUGGGUUUUAUCUUUUUUUGUAGAUACUAUUCUCAUUGAGGUCUAGAAGGCCUGGCUUGCUGUGUGGUAGUUGUUGAAGACAUUUCUGAAGAUCAAGCUCAACUCGGAUGUUCAAGAAACUGAAAAACACGCUGGAACACAUGAAUCUUUUAUUCCUAAGCAAUCUUCAUACAUUUUCACCUCAAAGCCUGCUUCAUGUGCGAUGGACCUGAGAGAACACUGCUAAGAAGUUUUCAGUGACAGCGUCUAACAACCAAAGCCCUGUCUGCACACAGAUUGCACUCUUAACAGCUCUGCUAAUCCUCAGUAGCUGCCAGGACUCUGGUUACAACAUCAAACCACACAUGAAGAAGUAGCAGUGCCUUAUCACCUCCAGAUCAUCAGGAAGUGCCACCCCCACUGCUACGUGCAUCAGAGAGAAAGGCUGGGGCACAGGCUCCUCUUCAGGCCUGGAAUAGAUGGAGCUGCUUCUUUUAACCUGCUUUUUAACACCAGAACAGGCAAUACACUACAAUCUCUUACAGCCGGAGGAUGUCAUACGUGUGCUCUCGUGGCAUAGUUUCUGCUAAGAGCAGGAAACAGGCCACUCUCACCAGUGCAGCUGUUGAGCAUAAACAACUGCAGUAAUGCCUGCACUUGAGU